rnacentral:rRNA from 1 species
UACGUAGGGUGCGAGCGUUGUCCGGAAUUAUUGGGCGUAAAGAGCUCGUAGGCGGUCUGUCGCGUCGGUCGUGAAAACUUGGGGCUUAACCCUGAGCUUGCGGUCGAUACGGGCAUGACUGGAGUUCGGCAGGGGAGACUGGAAUUCCUGGUGUAGCGGUGAGAUGCGCAGAUAUCAGGAGGAACACCGGUGGCGAAGGCGGGUCUCUGGGCCGAUACUGACGCUGAGGAGCGAAAGCGUGGGGAGCGAACAGG